UAAGUUUAACGGCAUCGAUUUACGCGAAAUACCGUGAUUCAAACAUUUUAAAUUUCCAAGUUGGGCUAAAAUUCGACAGAAUAUUUUAAAAAUUUGACGUCGUGGAUAAAAAGCCAAUAAAAGUAUUCUAUACAAAUUGCUGAACAUUAGCAUAAUUUUACUCGAAUUACGACAGUAAAUAAAAAGUCGAAAAUAACGAAACCGUAAAUUUGUUCAUUUGUUCUAUGU